ensembl:lncRNA MIR99AHG mir-99a-let-7c cluster host gene
GAUUACACUCUGAAUUCCCUUGUAGUGAGCUUACUUCUCUCCACCCACUUCUUACCAAGAACUCCUUAACUUGAGGGUGAACAACUUAAAGCUUGAUCCUACAGUUACCUGAAAAGUGAUUUGAGUAUUCAUUGAACUGAAAGAACAAAUCGCCUACUUCAGGCGGUGGCAAGCGUAUGGAAAUUAUAUUAGAACUUCAGCAAAGUGCACAGCUGCAUAAUAGAGAAGCCGGCACUCAGAUUGACAGGCAAAUAAGCCAGCUUGUGGAAGGGGCCUCUGGGUGGCAGCUCUGGGCUUUUGGGUGUUGGACAACCAUAGGCAAAACUGAAAUGGAACAGGGGCAGAAAAUAGCACACUUUUACUCUACGCAACUGUUGCUUUUUCAUGAUCUUCAGGAAUUUUACUGGGAUAAUUAUCCAAAUAAAUUGCAAGCAUUCUAUCCAAAUGGAGCUCUUUCUGAGAUGAAGAGAAUUCUCAAUGUCAAGAUUUGAACAAGAAGAGAAUGGAAUACACAAUAUGGACAUCCAUAAAAAUUCAUCAGAGAGCAUUUUACUACUGAGCUGCAAAGGGAAAAACUUAAAAUGGAUAUGAAAAGUGAAGAAAGUGAUCAUAGGAGAAAACCAUUUCAGAUGACAAGAGCACCUCAAAGGCAGCAGCCUCAAGGAGCAGCCAUGGCCCCAGACUUGUCGCACGGAUGCAGAAAACUUAAUGGAGGAGGCUGAGGUCAGAAUGGGAAGAGUUUUUAAAAAAUAAAAAGGGGAGCUAAUAUGUGAGGAACUGAUUGCUGUGCAUUAUUUUCCACUGAACAGACCUUCUUUUAACUUCUAAUCUCAAGCACAUAGCAGCUGUUGUUUUCAUAUUAAAGAUCAGUAAGUGUUUGUUGAAUGAAUGUAUAAAUUCUUCCCCAAUCUCUGUUCCAUGUAAUAAGAACUAAGUUAGCAUUCAAUUAUAAAGAGGACUUAGAAAGUCUGCAGACAUUUUUGAUCAAAAAUCCUUUUAACUGUCUUCUUAUGGUUCCCGGUAACACCUAAGCCCAAAAAACUCAGGUCAUUUCUUGCCUGUACUGUUGCAAUAGCCUCAUAAUAACUAGUCUUCUCCUUUAUCAACCACAGUCGUCUCCGCUACACAAAGAAGAGAGGGUGCUAAUCUAAAGUGUAAAUUAUUUUAAAUCAGCACCCUUCUUGUAAUUUCCCAGUGGUUUUUCCUGUCAUAAGAAUAACAUGCAAAAUUCCUUGCUUGCAAAGCCAGGUAUGACCUUGCCCCGUCUACCUUACUGGCAUCGUCUCUCAUGACUCUUCCCCUUUUUCACUCUCCAUCUUGCCUUUUCCCAACCAUGCCUGCUAGUGAGCCUUAGCCCUUGUGUUUUCUCUGCCAGGGAUGCAUGACUGGCUUCUUUACUUUAUUCUGAUCUCUCUGCUCAAAUGUCAUCUUUUUAGAGAUAGCUUUCCUAAACAUCUUUAAAAGUACCCCAUGAACUGUGAAACACCUUUCCUGCUUUUUCUUCAUAGUACUUAUCACUUCCUGAUAUUAUGUUAGACAACAAGCAAAUAAGUAUAUGCUGUUCCCACUAAAAUAUAAGCUCCAUUUGAACAGGAGCCUUGAUUAUUCCUGAGUAUACCCCUAGUGCCCAGAACCUAGUAGGGCUUUAAUAAAUAUUAGAUUCAUUUGUUGAAUGAAAAAAUGAAUGAAUAAUUGAAUAAAGAUAUCCAGGUAGAGUGUCCGGGCAGCCCAACCUAUGUGAAGCCAGUACAAGAAUGUUUCUGUGACAUAGUGAGCGCAAUUAUUCCUCUAAAUGAUGAACUUGCAUGAGUACACAAGGAUAAAAUUAAGCACGUAGUUUAGAUUUCUGCAAGUCUCUUCCUCAGAUUGAGGAAAAACAAAGAAAUUGAGCUUAUUCUCACCUCAUUCUUACAUGAACUAAAUCCAGAAUAAAGCAUCAUUUAAAUACCAAGCACAUCCCUACCUCAGCCACUCAUGGAAUACUUUAUCUGUAAAGGGACAGAUAGAUAGUAAAUAUUUUUGGCUUUGGGGACCGUACAGUCUGUGUCGCCACUACUCAGCACUUCUGUUGAGGUGUGGAAUCAGCCCUAGACAACACAUAAACAAAUGGGUGUGGCUGUGUUCCAAUAAAAUGUUAUUUAUAAAACUAGGAAAUCAGCAGAUUUAGUCCACAGGCUGUAGUUUGCUGACCCUUGAAUUAGAGAGUCUUCCCCAAAUCCUCUUCCCAAGUUAUUGAAAGAAUGCCCAUAGGACCAUAGCUCCCUCACCUGGUUCUUUCAAGAAAUGAGACAAAUUCAGGGAUGGUUGGAGGGUGGAACGCCUACCUGUGACAUGACUAUUGAGCCUGAUUUCUUUCCUUUUAUCUCUUUAAAGUGAGUCAGGUCUUAACUUUAAACUGUCUCUAAAGUGGCAAUAACUGGGCCAUGUCAAAUACUCCCAAUGACAAAAUUUCUUCUUGGAGAAUGAAUGAGGGUUGCAUACAGUGGUGUGUUGGUAAAUGUUUAGCAACUGGCUCUCUUACUGAUUUCUGUAGUGUAAAUUCUCCCAUCCUGGCCAUCUGAAACUACCAAUAUGAUGUCACUUGAUGUAGAGUUGGGAAAAGACAGUCUCUUGAAUAAGUAUGAGCUGGUUCCAGCCCACUGCUGAACACAUAUUUAAAAGCUACAAUAGCUCUGCUCACUGCCAUUGCAGAGUCUGGAGGAAAGAGUAGCAGGCUUGAUAGGAGCAAUUGGCUGAAUAAUCUUUUGCAAUGCCAAUAAAUAAUGAAAAAGUAUAUAAAUAUAACGCUGUAUAGAAAGCUCUCAAGUUCAGUGUUUGGUUAAAAUACAUACUCAGUAAAUGGUAGCUAUUAUUGUCUUAGUUUAAGUUAUUGCAAGCAUUAAAAUUAAAUGUUUAGCUACAGACUCAAUCCAGUUUUAAUGUCAUUGUGUUAAUAAGGCCUCUUAACAUUGAAGCAACAAAGAUAAAGGAAUUUUUUUGUAGCUAUUCACGAUUCUGCCCAGCUCAAGGUAAAGAUAGCAACAAAAUACUCCAACCAGAAUAAAAGAAGUCUCCACUUGACUGCAGCUCUUCGCAACACUUCACAAGGGUCAAGCUGUGUUAGUUUCCUUCAGUGUUAAACAGAAUGCAUCUUAAGAGAAUAGUUCAAUUAUUGAUUGAAUAGUAGGUUCAAGUUGACUAUAAUCCCAACUAAUACACUCUAAGACCAGGGAUGGGCCGACAGAAGGGUAAAGUUUUCCACUCAAGUCUCGAGGCAAACACUCAGAUAGAAGUAGUAAUAUGGAUGCCUUCUAUUAUUUGGUCACAUACAAUACUGUUCCAGCCCAGUUGUGCAAAACUGGUGAAAUAAAAGGCAAAAAUAUUGACAACAGUUUGGGUAACUGGAUUCCAAAAUGGGCAUCCAUCUAAGAGAAAUUAAUGAAAAAAAAGCAUAUGGACCUUGAAAUACAUUAAUACACAGUUUAGGUUUAAACACUCAGUUUUUAUUAGAAAAGACUAACUUAUCCUGUUUUGAACACUACAAAAGUGCUUUCUGAACCAUUUACUCUCAAACCUCCUCCACCCAUUCCCCUCCAUCUAUAACGCUUUCUGCACAUCUGUAAAAGGUAUGACUUAGUGUUUGGUCUGUGAAAUAAGGUUAAAAAGGAAGCAUUUCUUUUUACAUUCUAGCUAAUGUUGAUAUUUUUCUCAUGCUUCUAUUAGCACAUAAUUCAGAUACAUUAGUUUUGAAGUUUUGAAUCUUCUCUGCUUCUUGAGGGCUCUCUGUUCUAGAUCAACAUGAUCUGUGGAACACCAGCCAAGUCCUGGGCAGAACCCUCCCCGUUGUCCAAAUAUUACUGAAUCAGUUGAGUUUUCUCUGUUGUCAAUGAAUUAUUCCACAUGUUUCUUUGGCUACAUUUUUUUUGGCUUUCUGUUCACAGUAAAUAUAGCCUUUGUUUUUAAAAACUUCUAUUAUGAAAAUUCCAAAUAUAUGCAAAUUAGAGAGAAUAGCAUAAUGAACCUCUAUGUGCUUAUCACACAUAUAGGUUCAACUAAUUAAAUUAUAUCAAUUUAUGGCCAAUCUGGUUUCAUUUAUAACAUCAUUCGCUCAUUCCUAACUCCCUGGAUUAUUUGAUUGACAUGUUUCUAAAGUUCCUUUUAAUCUGUAGGUUCCCCCUCUCAUUUAAUCUUUUGCAACUUAUUCAUUGAUGAAACUGGGUUAUUUGUCCUUUAUUGUUUCUCUCAUUCUGAAAUAUGCUGUAAUGUCAUUAACCAUAUUCUUCUUUCCUGUAUUUUCUGUAAGCUUUGAGCUAGGCAGAAAUAUUUUAAUCAGAUUCCUUUUUUUUUCUUUUAGCAAGAUUUCUUCAUAAAUAAUAUUGUAUGUGU